rnacentral:rRNA from 1 species
AAACAUGUCUUCUUGAUUAUAAUUUGAAGUCAGACCUGCUCUAUGAUUUUUAAAUGGCCGCAGUAUUUUGACUGUGCUAAGGUAGCAUAAUAAUUAGUUUCUUAAUUAGAAGCUUGUAUGAAUGGUUCGAUAAGAAAAUUUCUUUCUUAUAAUUAAUUUUUUUGAAUUUUAUUUUUAAGUAAAAAAGCUUAAAUUUUUUUAGGGGACGAGAAGACCCUUUAGAAUUUUAUAAAAUUAUUUAUUUAUUUAUUUUUAGUAUUUAUUAAUUUAUAAGUUUAUUUUUUAUUUAGUUGGGGUGACUGAAAAAUUUAAUUAACUUUUUUUAUUUUUUACUUUGUAAAAGGUUUUUUGAUCCGUUUUAUCGAUUAUAAGAAAAAAUUACCUAAGGGAUAACAGCGUUAUAUUUUUUAGAGUUCAUAUCGAAAAAAUUGAUUGCGACCUCGAUGUUGGAUUAGAAAUUCUUCUAGGUGCAGAAGCUUAGAAAGAAGGUCUGUUCGACCUUUAAAUUUCUACGUGAUC